GUGGGGAAUCUUGCGCAAUGGGCGAAAGCCUGACGCAGCCAUGCCGCGUGAAUGAUGAAGGUCUUAGGAUUGUAAAAUUCUUUCACCGGGGACGAUAAUGAUGGUACCCGGAGAAGAAGCCCCGGCUAACUUCGUGCCAGCAGCCGCGGUAAUACGAAGGGGGCUAGCGUUGCGCGGAAUUACUGGGCGUAAAGGGCGCGUAGGCGGACAGUUUAGUCAGAGGUGAAAGCCCAGGGCUCAACCUUGGAAUUGCCUUUGAUACUGGCUGUCUUGAGUACGGGAGAGGUGAGUGGAACUCCGAGUGUAGAGGUGAAAUUCGUAGAUAUUCGGAAGAACACCAGUGGCGAAGGCGACUCACUGGCCCGUUACUGACGCUGAGGCGCGAAAGCGUGGGGAGCAAACAGGAUUAGAUACCCCUGUAGUCC
rnacentral:rRNA from 1 species